rnacentral:rRNA from 1 species
GCCUACGGGAGGCAGCAGUGGGGAAUUUUGGACAAUGGGCGCAAGCCUGAUCCAGCUAUUCCGCGUGUGGGAUGACGGCCCUCGGGUUGUAAACCACUCUAGUAGAGAACGAAAAGGAGCUAUCGAAUAAAUAGCUCUGCUGACGGUACUCUAAGAAUAAGCACCGGCUAACUACGUGCCAGCAGCCGCGGUAAUACGUAGGGUGCGAGCGUUAAUCGGAAUUACUGGGCGUAAAGGGUGCGCAGGCGGCGUGGCAAGUCUGAAGUGGAAGGUACGGGCUCAACCUGUACAGGCUUUGGAAACUG